CCGGACUUCGGUCCGGUGGAAACUGGCGCACGGGUGAGUAACGCGUGGGAACAUGCCCAAGGGUACGGAAUAACAGUUGGAAACGACUGCUAUACCGUAUGUCCCCUGAGGGGGAAAGAUUUAUCGCCCUUGGAUUGUCCCGCGUCCGAUUAGCUUGUUGGUGAGGUAAAGGCUCACCAAGGCGACGAUCGGUAGCUGGUCUGAGAGGAUGAUCAGCCACACUGGGACUGAGACACGGCCCAG
rnacentral:rRNA from 1 species